GGCACUCAUAGCUGAUUUUGAAUUAUCUGAGGGAAUCUAUUCGCGUGCUAAAAUCGAGGACUCUGACUCAGUGUGCCUAUGGUUGGGUGCAAAUGUGAUGCUGGAAUACUCCUGUGACGAGGUAUAGUUUUAAGCAUUGUCAUAUUCCCGUCCUUCGAUUUUUAGUUCCCCCCUUCAUUUCUGGGAGUUUUGCAGGCCAAUGAGCUCUUGAAAAGUAACUUGGAAAAUGCGAGGGCCAGUUUAGAAGUCCUUGUUGGCGAUCUUCAUUUCUUACGGGACCAGCAAACGAUAACUCAGGUAAAAUGGCCAUGACUAGUUUGACUACUCACCAUCAUCUCAUGCUCAGUAUUGCUAAACUCAAUUCUUUGUCAGGUUACAAUUGCUCGGAUAUUUAACUGGGACGUGCACCAGCGGAGAAGCAAGCAGUCUGUUAUGAAAGAAACAUGAUCAUCAUAGGGUAUGCGCAGCCAAUGAAAUCGGGUUAUUUUUGUACUUCUUGCUGCCUCUGGCGAUUUAGUUUAUCGUCAUAGUGUGUGUGCUCUUUGCUAUUGAUGGUGCCUUGGCCGCGUGACAGAAAUGUAUCAAUCACAUUCAGUUUUAUGGUGUUGGAACUCUAGACCGUGUGGUGUAGAUGACAUUCGCUUCUGUUUUGGGCUGCAUGUACUUGUUUAGCGCUUGAUGAAACAAAAUUUGCAAAGCAUUUUUUUUGUUUAUUACCUUCUUUUCUGGCAUGUUCACUGGUUUUAAAUCCUCUAAAAGAUGAGC
rnacentral:lncRNA from 1 species